UACGUAGGGGGCAAGCGUUGUCCGGAUUAUUGGGCGUAAAGGGCGCGUAGGCGGUUUCUUAAGUUUGAAGUGACAGUGGGUGGCUUAACUACCCAAGGCCUUUGAAACUGGGGAACUUGAGGACCAGAGAGGGACAUAGAAUCCGGGUGGAGUGGUGAAAUGCGUAGAGAUCCGGAGGAACACCAGUGGCGCAGGCGGCUCUCUGGGUCGGCCCUGACGCUGAGGCGCGAAAGCGUGGGGAGCGAACAGG
rnacentral:rRNA from 1 species